UAAAGACGAUUAUGGUCGUGUUGUUGGUGUAAUGGCAGAUCGUUGGUCAGUGAAGAACAGAGAUCCCUUAGCCCAUUCGUAAACGAAUCCUAGUGUUAGAACUCCUGCGAACAUCAUUGCAACCCAGUAUCCCAUAACUGUUACAUCACCAAGUGACACAGCAAUAGGGUAUAGUAGAAGAAUUUCAAGAUCGAAUAGUAGGAACAGAAUACCAACUAGAUAGUAUUGAAUACUAAACGGUGCUCGUGUUUGACCAAGUAGAGGUGCAUAUCCACAUUCGUAACUUGAUACCUUUUCUGCAUCCGGUCGGUUAGGAGCUAGCAGAACGUUAGCUAGUAGUAGAAUAGCUACUAGAACGGGUACGAACAGAAACAUGAUAAUCAUUGUAGACAUUAGUAACCGUAUAGUGAUAGAGCCAGUAGAGUUGUGCUAUUUAGAAUUAGGUCUGGGUAUACCGCAAAUAGGGCGAUAGCCAUUGUUAGUGUAGCGAUAGCAAAGCUAUGUACAGAUGUCAGCUUUUGUGCUGGUGAUGUUGAUGAUGUAUCUGAGUAUGGUGGGUCAAAGUGAAUUACUCGUACAAUCUUAAGAUAGUAUGAUGCACUGAUUACAGAUACUAGAAUUGCUACAAUAGAUAGGAAGUAGUAUCCGCUAUGUGUUGCAGAAUAUAGAACCAUUUGCUUUCCAAAAAAUCCUACUAGAGGUGGUACUCCAGCCAUAGAGAAUAGACAUACUGUUAGAGCUAGACCUAGUAGAGGGUUUGAUCGGAAUUGUCCUGCUAGUUCUCCAAUUAGUUGUACGUCAGUGCUAUGGUCAGAUGAUCGUGCCACUGUAGAAUGCAUGAUAUAUCCAAAUGCUAGAAUAAUCAUAAAUGCGUUAAGGUUUGUAAUACUGUAUUGUACUAGGUAGAACAGAAAUGAUUCGAUUGAUUCUUCUGUGCUAACAGCUAGUGCAAGUAGUAGGAAACCUACGUGUGAGAUAGUACUGUAUGCAAAUAGUCGCUUGAUUCGAAUUUGAGCUAGUCCUACAACUGUACCUACAAUUAGUGAUAGUAGUGAUGUUACUAGUAGAAGGUUAGUCCAUACGUCAAAUGAUACACCGUUAAGCAUAACAGCUAGUGAACCUCCACUAAAUUGUAGACCUGAUUGUAGCUCUAGUAGUAGAAUGAAGAUUGAUAGCUUAGGCAUAAUUGUUAGCCAUGUUGUUACGAUAGUUGGUGUACCGUCAUAUACGUCAGGAGCCCAGUUGUGGAAUGGUGCUGCUGCUACCUUAAAUAGGAAACCUACAGCUAGAAUAAUAAGACCAAUAGUACAUGGACCUAGAUCUGAUGUUAGAGAGUUCACACCGCUAACUGAUAGUAGUGAGAAGAUACUUUCUAGACUUGUUAGACCUGUGUAUGCAUAUACUAGAGCUGAUCCUAGUAGAAUUAGAGCUGAUGAUAGUCCACCUAGAAGGAAAUACUUUAGACCUGCUGCUGUAGCAGAGUCAGAAUCUCGGUAUAGUGUUGCAAGAAUGUAUACACCAAAUGAUUGUAGUUCGAUACUUAGGUAAAUCGAUACAAGGUCAGCACUUGAUACCAGGAAUGUAGCUCCACAAGUUGUAAAUAGAAUAAUUAGAGGAUAUUCUGAAAUUGUAGGUAGAGCUGUAAACACUGAUCGUGCGUGAGCCUUAAGGUUAGUUGCUACUGGAGCCCAUGGUAGAAGAAUCAUAGCUCCAAUAACAAAGAUGAAUGUGUCAAUUGAUUGAGUCACAGACGUUACUUGGAAUAGACCACUGUAGACGCUUACACCUUCUCCAAUACCUUGAAGAUCUAGAGCAUUAUAUGAUAGUGCUGCAGUGUAAAGUAGUACUAGUGAAGUCACCCGAGUUAGUAGAAUAGGUGAUAGUUGUACGUUAGGAAGCGCUACGGCCAUCAUAAGAGAAAAAAUACUUAGUACUAGCAUCGCUGUGGUCGCUGACAAUCCAGUACUAACGGCCAGAAUGUCGAGAAAAAUUAUUAUACGAGUAUUCAGAAUCGAACUGAAAUUGUUUAUUUGGAAGACAAACGUGAUAACCAUUACACUAUACUCGCUGUCUUAUAGAUAUUGUAUAACGGCAAUAGGUUAGGAAAAGGAAGGAAGACAUACUAACCACUAUACUAUACUCGCUAUAUAUAUAAUGCCCUGCAGGAUUCGAACCUGCGUUAUCUAUUUCGAAGACAGGUGUACUAACCAUUAUACUAAGGGCAAGGUGACUAUUAUUUACGAAAGAAGAGACUCGAACUCUUAAACCCUGAGGCAAUCGUACCUAAAACGAUCUCGGCUACCAAUUUCGACACAUUCGCUGUUGUAGACACUUUUAGUAAUAGAAAGGGGGAAUAUUGCUGGUUGUAUUAGCUAGUAGACUAUGAGUAUAGAACUAGGAAUGAUACCAUAAGAGCGAAUAGCCCUGUAGCUUCUGCUAGAGCGAACCCUAGAAUUGCGUAUGUAAAUAGUUGUCCUCGAAGAGCUGGGUUUCGGGCUGUUGAUGCGAUUAGAGAUGAGAAGAUUGACCCGAUCCCGAUACCUGCACCUGUUAGACCGAUAGCAGCUAGACCUGCACCGAUGAACUUUGCUGCUGCCAUAGUUUAAUGGAAGUGUAGAUUAUUAGGCUAUUACUUAAUAAGUAAUGGCUAUAGAUUGAGAGAUAUGUUAUCAUAACAUCAAUACUCUUGCUUUUAGAAUUAAAUUUUGUAAAUAUAAGCAUGACAAAAUAUGGACACAUAGGUGUGAGUAAUCAAAGUGAUUGUUGGGGACGCCUAGCACGCAUCCAUUAUACGGAAGGCAUUAGUCUUAAAGCUAUGAGUUAAUUGAAAAUAUCAUAGCGAUCCGCGCGGGAAACCGUAUACAAGUAACGCAGUGAACUGAACCAUCUUAGUAACUGCAGGAAAGGAAAACAACCGUGACUCCUAAAGUAGUGGCGAGCGAAAUAGGAUUAAGCCUACUGGAAAUAUUGUAACGCAGAAUACUUUGGAAUAAGUAAUCCGUAGAAGGUGAUAGCCCUGUAUGCUUACAAUAUCAGUAUUUAUAAAGAAAUACUCCUAUAGAGUAAUCUGAGUGAUUUAUAGUAGUGUGAGAGAUAACUUGCAUGAACAUCGGGGAACCAUCCUCGAAGGCUAAGUAUGGAUGACGUAGCGAUAGUGAAGAGUACCGUGAGGGAAGGGUGAAAUAGUAGGUCGAUGACCGGUGAAAUAGAUCCUGAAUCAGCAAUCAUACAAGCAAUUAGAGCAAGCCAGAAAUACUGGAUGUGAUAAUGUACCUUUUGCAUAAUGGGUCAGCGAGUUAUUAGCAGUAGCAAGGUGUACAACCCUAGCGACAGCGACUGGUUAGCAUAUGGCUAAUUCGGGAAAGUUACUGUUAUUAGACCCGAAACGUUGUGAUUUACCCUUGGCCAGACUAGAGAAUAGGUCGAACGGAUCAAUGUUGCAUUAUUGUCCGAUGAGCUGAGGGUGGUAAGUGAAAGACAACCCUGACAACGAUAUAGCUGGUACUCCUCGAAACGUAUUGAGGUACGGAUCUCUAUAAUGACUUACGUAGGUAGAGCACUGACCAUCAUGUCUUCAGUUUAAUUGAGGGCUCAAUUGGGGGGUCCUAGACUCUACCUUUGAUGUGUUAACCGCCGAAUUACGUAACUUAAUUUAGAGAGGACAGACUACUCAUGAUAAGGUGGGUAGUCAAGACGGAAACAGCCGAGAACAUAGAUGGAAGGUCCCAAAGUGAUAACUCAGUGAAAUUAAGGAAGUCGCGAUUCUGAGACAGCAAUGAUGUUCGCUUGGAGGUAGCUACCAUUUGAAGAGAGUGUAACAACUCAGUUGCCGAGAAUCGUAGGCGCCGACAAUACACGGGUCUAUAGGUUAUCCACCGACACUAUGUCCAUUAAACUAUAUAAAUACAAACAAUGGUUUAAUCUGAGUAGAGGAGCAUUCCACACGAAUGAAGGAUAGUGUUUCAUUAUCUGGACGGUAGUGGAAGAGAAAAUGCUGACAUGAGUAACGUAGAAGAUGGUUAUAAUACCAUCCGCCGAAUGAACAAGGGUUCCGUAGACAUGGUCGACAGCUACGGUUUAAAACGGCCUCUAAGAUUAUUGGCUCGCUGCUAAUAAUUGAUGAGUUUAUCACAGACAGCUGGAAACAAUAGUUACGGUCUGGAAGAUAAUGUGAUUGUUACCGUACCCUACAACCGACACAGGUGUUCAGGUAGAGAAUACUAAGGCGUUGAGAUAACACCGCAUAAGGAACUCGGCAAAAUGCUUCCUUACACUCGAUAAGAAGGAAGACCACAGUUAUCGUUUAACGGUAAUUGAUGGUGGCACAUAAUCGGGAGGCACGACUGUUUACCAAAAACACCGGUAUCUGCUAUGUAUAUAAUACAUCGUAUAGAUGCUGAAUCUUGUCCAAUGCCAAGGGUCUAAAAUUGGAACGUUGUAAUGGCGCGCCUUUUCAAGCCUAGGUGAAUGACUGUCUUAACUAUAAGGAUAUUAAAGUAGCGAAAUUCCUUGUCCGCUAAAUACGGUCCUGCAUGAAUAGAGUAACGAUGCCUCCACUGUCUCAUGCGGUGUCUCAGUGAAAUUGAAUUAGCCGUGCAGAUGCGGUUUGUGUGCAAGAGGACACGAAGACCCUAUACAGCUUUACUAUAACUAGUCACUGUGAUAGCCUUAGUUGGGUGUAGUCUAGAGGGUAGUCGUUAGACGCAAGUGAAAGACCCUUACCGACUAAUGGCAGUCACUACUCUGUCAUAAUGACAGCUAAUUUGACUAGCGGGUAGUUUAACUGGGACGGUUUCCUCCAAUAAGGUAUCGGAGGACCUCGAAGGUAUGCUGAUGUUAGAUGGAAGCUAACGUGUCGUGAGGACACACAAAAGCCCAUAGGUAUAUGCAUGCUUGACUGCAAGACUGAUAAGUCAAAGCAGGUACGUAAGUAGGACUAAGUGAUCCGCUAGUGCUAUAUGGAUAGGCUAGCGCUCAAGAGAUAAAAGUUACGCUAGGGAUAACAGGGUUAUAGCGCACGAGAGUUCAUAUUGUCGGCGCUGUUUGCCACCUCGAUGUCGACUCAUCUUAUCCUCCUGGUGCAUUCGCUGGGAAGGGUUCUGCUGUUCGCAGAUUAAAAAGGUACGUGAGUUGGGUUCAAUACGACGAGAGUCAGUAUGGUUUAUAUCCUUUGCACAUAGUAGCAAUCAAAUCAGGAUCAGUCUCUAGUACGAAAGGACCGAGAUCUGGUGCAUCCAUGGUGUACCUUCUGUUGGUUUUAGCUAACUGGCACCGAAGGGUAGCUAUAUGCAUAACGGAUAAGAGCUGAAAGCAUCUAAGCUCGAAGCCCACCUGUAAUUUUGAUUACAUUACGGCUAGAAGUAGACUACUUCUUAAUAGGUCACAAGUGUAAGUCCUGUAAAGGGCAGUAGCUAAGUGAUACUAAUAGCCUCAUUACUCACACCU